rnacentral:lncRNA from 1 species
AGGUGUUGUUGUUGUUGUCAUUGUCACUAUUGCCUUUGUCUUUGGACAGUGAUCCAGGAUAAAAGCCAUGAAGCUACAGGUGGAUGAGAGACCAGUUGCAGGAGUGCAAAGACCAACUACGGCCAGAGAGAGUAAUGGUAAAUGUGCCGGGGGAAUAUCUGCAGCACAGCUAUGCUAGGCUUCUGUCUUCACUACAGUGGACAACGGACUCUACAAGGUGUAAGAAUCAUUUUGCCUGGUGGAAGGAUGAUUUGUUGCCUGUAGCUUGUAACAAAGGUCCAUUAUACAGAGAUUAGAGAUUCCCUUGAUGAUACAGAGAUUUCCUGUUUGCAUAGGGC